CUCGAGGCCAGAUCUAGAGUUUGAUCCUGGCUGAGAAUGAACGCUGGCGGCGUGCUUCAUACAUGCAAGUCGAACGAGAAAGUGACUUCGGUCGCGAGUACAGUGGCGAACGGGUGAGUAACACGUGGAUAACCUGCCCUGGUGUGGGGGACAACUUGGGGAAACUCGAGCUAAUACCGCAUACGUUUCACGGCUUUCGAGCUGUGAAGGAAAGACUGCCUAUCCUUGGAAGUAGUCGCACUUGGAGGGGUCCGCGUCCGAUUAGCUUGUUGGUGGGGUAAUGGCCUACCAAGGCUACGAUCGGUAGCCGGCCUGAGAGGGUGAUCGGCCACACUGGAACUGAGACACGGUCCAGACGUCUACGGACGGCAGCAGUAGGGAAUAUUGCGCAAUGGGGGAAACCCUGACGCAGCAACGCCGCGUGAAGGAUGAAGGCCUUCGGGUCGUAAACCUCUGUCAGAAGGGAAGAAGGGUUGUCGGUUAAGAGCUAAUAACCUUGACGGUACCUUCAGAGGAAGCACUGGCUAACUCCGUGCCAGCAGCCGCGGUAAUACGGAGAGUGCAAGCGUUAUUCGGAUUUAUUGGGCGUAAA
rnacentral:rRNA from 1 species